UUCAGUUGUCUCUGUGGAUGC
rnacentral:piRNA from 1 species